CAGCAGCCGCGGUAAUACGUAUGUCACAAGCGUUAUCCGGAUUUAUUGGGCGUAAAGCGCGUCUAGGUGGUUAUGUAAGUCUGAUGUGAAAAUGCAGGGCUCAACUCUGUAUUGCGUUGGAAACUGUGUAACUAGAGUACUGGAGAGGUAAGCGGAACUACAAGUGUAGAGGUGAAAUUCGUAGAUAUUUGUAGGAAUGCCAAUGGGGAAGCCAGCUUACUGGACAGAUACUGACGCUAAAGCGCGAAAGCGUGGGUAGCAAACAGGAUUAGAUACCCGCGAGUCCCUGUCUCUUAUACAC
rnacentral:rRNA from 1 species